rnacentral:misc_RNA from 1 species
CCAAAAGAUAUUCUUUCAACUCGAAAGAUCUUUUCCUUUGUGCUGGCUUUGACCGUAUGUAAUUUUGGGACUUAAACAUGGUAAAGCCUUUAUGGUUUGACCGGUCCCAAAAACAAUAUAUCAUCCUUAUGAAAAACUUACUGAACAACUAAACAAUGAUUUUAAUAAUCUGUUUAAAA